UUACGGGAGGCAGCAGUGGGGAAUUUUGGACAAUGGGCGCAAGCCUGAUCCAGCAAUGCCGCGUGCAGGAAGAAGGCCUUCGGGUUGUAAACUGCUUUUGUACGGAACGAAAAGGCUCUGGUUAAUACCUGGGGCUCAUGACGGUACCGUAAGAAUAAGCACCGGCUAACUACGUGCCAGCAGCCGCGGUAAUA
rnacentral:rRNA from 1 species